CUGGUUGAUCCUGCCAGUAGUCAUAUGCUUGUCUCAAAGCUUAAGCCAUGCAAGUCUCAGUACGAACUGACUUAAAGUGAAACCGCAAAAGGCUCGGUAAACCGGUCAUAGUUUACC
rnacentral:rRNA from 1 species